UUACCGAGUGCGGGUCCUUUGGGCCCAACCUCCCAUCCGUGUCUAUUGUACCCUGUUGCUUCGGCGGGCCCGCCGCUUGUCGGCCGCCGGGGGGGCGCCUCUGCCCCCCGGGCCCGUGCCCGCCGGAGACCCCAACACGAACACUGUCUGAAAGCGUGCAGUCUGAGUUGAUUGAAUGCAAUCAGUUAAAACUUUCAACAAUGGAUCUCUUGGUUCCGGCAUCGAUGAAGAACGCAGCGAAAUGCGAUAACUAAUGUGAAUUGCAGAAUUCAGUGAAUCAUCGAGUCUUUGAACGCACAUUGCGCCCCCUGGUAUUCCGGGGGGCAUGCCUGUCCGAGCGUCAUUGCUGCCCUCAAGCCCGGCUUGUGUGUUGGGUCGCCGUCCCCCUCUCCGGGGGGACGGGCCCGAAAGGCAGCGGCGGCACCGCGUCCGAUCCUCGAGCGUAUGGGGCUUUGUCACAUGCUCUGUAGGAUUGGCCGGCGCCUGCCGACGUUUUCCAACCAUUCUUUCCAGGUUGACCUCGGAUCAGGUAGGGAUACCCGCUGAACUUAAGCAUAUCAAUAAGCGGAGGAAAAGAAACCAACCGGGAUUGCCUCAGUAACGGCGAGUGAAGCGGCAAGAGCUCAAAUUUGAAAGCUGGCUCCUUCGGAGUCCGCAUUGUAAUUUGCAGAGGAUGCUUUGGGUGCGGCCCCCGUCUAAGUGCCCUGGAACGGGCCGUCAGAGAGGGUGAGAAUCCCGUCUUGGGCGGGGUGUCCGUGCCCGUGUAAAGCUCCUUCGACGAGUCGAGUUGUUUGGGAAUGCAGCUCUAAAUGGGUGGUAAAUUUCAUCUAAAGCUAAAUACUGGCCGGAGACCGAUAGCGCACAAGUAGAGUGAUCGAAAGAUGAAAAGCACUUUGAAAAGAGAGUUAAACAGCACGUGAAAUUGUUGAAAGGGAAGCGCUUGCGACCAGACUCGCCCGCGGGGUUCAGCCGGCAUUCGUGCCGGUGUACUUCCCCGUGGGCGGGCCAGCGUCGGUUUGGGCGGCCGGUCAAAGGCCCCUGGAAUGUAGUGCCCUCCGGGGCACCUUAUAGCCAGGGGUGCAAUGCGGCCAGCCUGGACCGAGGAACGCGCU
rnacentral:rRNA from 1 species